GCGAAAACUUUACAAUGCGGGAAACCGUGAUAAGGGGACACCGAGUGCCAGCAUCAUAUGCUGGCUGUCCGGGUGUGUAAAAUACACCUGUUAGCAAGGGCCGGGCAAGACCGGUGCCAGCCGCCGCGGUAACACCGGCGGCCCGAGUGGUGAUCGUGAUUAUUGGGUCUAAAGGGUCCGUAGCCGGUUUGGUCAGUCCUCCGGGAAAUCUGAUAGCUUAACUAUUAGGCUUUCGGGGGAUACUGCCAGACUUGGAACCGGGAGAGGUAAGAGGUACUACAGGGGUAGGAGUGAAAUCUUGUAAUCCCUGUGGGACCACCUGUGGCGAAGGCGUCUUACCAGAACGGGUUCGACGGUGAGGGACGAAAGCUGGGGGCACGAACCGGAUUAGAUACCCGGGUAGUCCCAGCCGUAAACGAUGCUCGCUAGGUGUCAGGCAUGGCGCGACCGUGUCUGGUGCCGCAGGGAAGCCG
rnacentral:rRNA from 1 species